GCUUUGUUUGUGAGUUUUAAGGGGAAGGAAAGGAAAGGCUAAGGAGGGGAAGGGAAGGAAAGGGAGGGAAGGGAGAAAGGAGGGAAAACCUUCCCCUUGUUUGAGAGUUAAAAAGCCAACAAGGAAAGGAGAUGGAGGGCUUAUGUUAUAAUUUUACUAUUUUACCCUUUUUCCUCUUAAAAUCAAUACAUUGUUAUACUUCGUAAUUUAACUUCUAAUUUAUUCAAAACAACUUAUCGCAUGAAAAACAAAUUAUUAAGAUCUAUUUUNNNN
rnacentral:lncRNA from 1 species